rnacentral:rRNA from 1 species
AGAGUUUGAUCAUGGCUCAGAUUGAACGCUGGCGGCAUGCUUUACACAUGCAAGUCGAACGCGGUCGGGGGGCAACCCUUGGCCGAGUGGCGAACGGGUGAGUAAUACAUCGGAACGUACCCCGUUGUGGGGGAUAACCCACCGAAAGGUGGGCUAAUACCGCAUACGCCCUUCGGGGGAAAGCGGGGGACCGCAAGGCCUCGCGCGAUGGGAGCGGCCGAUGUCGGAUUAGCUAGUAGGUUGGGUAAAGGCUGACCUAAGCGACGAUCCGUAGCUGGUCUGAGAGGAUGAUCAGCCACACUGGGACUGAGACACGGCCCAGACUCCUACGGGAGGCAGCAGUGGGGAAUUUUGGACAAUGGGGGCAACCCUGAUCCAGCCAUGCCGCGUGAGUGAAGAAGGCCUUCGGGUUGUAAAGCUCUUUCGGCCGGAACGAAAUCGCCUCCCCUAAUACGGGGGGUGGAUGACGGUACCGGAAGAAGAAGCACCGGCUAACUACGUGCCAGCAGCCGCGGUAAUACGUAGGGUGCGAGCGUUAAUCGGAAUUACUGGGCGUAAAGCGUGCGCAGGCGGCUCUUCAAGUCAGAUGUGAAAGCCCCGGGCUUAACCUGGGAAUGGCGUUUGAAACUGGAGGGCUGGAGUGUGGCAGAGGGAGGUGGAAUUCCACGUGUAGCAGUGAAAUGCGUAGAGAUGUGGAGGAACACCGAUGGCGAAGGCAGCCUCCUGGGCCAACACUGACGCUCAUGCACGAAAGCGUGGGGAGCAAACAGGAUUAGAUACCCUGCUAGUCCACGCCCUAAACGAUGUCGACUGGUUGUUGGGGAAGGAGACUUCCUUAGUAACGAAGCUAACGCGUGAAGUCGACCGCCUGGGGAGUACGCCGCAAGGUAAACUCAAAUGAAUUGACGG